rnacentral:rRNA from 1 species
GGAUGAACGCUGGCUACAGGCUUAACACAUGCAAGUCGAGGGGAAACGACGGGGAAGCUUGCUUCCCCGGGCGUCGACCGGCGCACGGGUGAGUAACGCGUAUCCAACCUGCCUCUGACUGAGGGAUAACCCGUCGAAAGUCGGCCUAAUACCUCAUGGCAUCGUCUGCGGGCAUCCAACGACGAUUAAAGAUUUCAUCGGUCAGGGAUGGGGAUGCGUCUGAUUAGCUUGUUGGCGGGGUAACGGCCCACCAAGGCUACGAUCAGUAGGGGUUCUGAGAGGAAGGUCCCCCACAUUGGAACUGAGACACGGUCCAAACUCCUACGGGAGGCAGCAGUGAGGAAUAUUGGUCAAUGGGCGGGAGCCUGAACCAGCCAAGUAGCGUGCAGGAUGACGGCCCUAUGGGUUGUAAACUGCUUUUAUGCGGGGAUAAAGUGAGGGACGUGUCCUUCAUUGCAGGUACCGCAUGAAUAAGGACCGGCUAAUUCCGUG